rnacentral:rRNA from 1 species
CCUACGGGAGGCAGCAGUAGGGAAUCUUCCACAAUGGGCGAAAGCCUGAUGGAGCAACGCCGCGUGGGUGAAGAAGGUCUUCGGAUCGUAAAACCCUGUUGUCAGAGAAGAAAGUGCGUGAGAGUAACUGUUCACGAUCCGACGGUAUCUAACCAGAAAGCGACGGCUAACUACGUGCCAGCAGCCGCGGUAAUACGUAGGUGGCAAGCGUUAUCCGGAUUUAUUGGGCGUAAAGGGAACGCAGGCGGUCUUUUAAGUCUGAUGUGAAAGCCUUCGGCUUAACCGGAGUAGUGCAUUGGAAACUGGGGGACGUGAGUGCAGGAGGGGAGAGUGGAACUCCAUGUGUAGCGGUGGAAUGCGUAGAUAUAUGGAGGAACACCAGUGGCGAAAGCGGCUCUCUGGUCUGUAACUGACGCUGAGGUUCGAAAGCGUGGGUAGCAAACAGGAUUAGAUACCCGUGUAGUC